rnacentral:siRNA from 1 species
CUCGGGGGUCCCAGUUCCGAAC